rnacentral:rRNA from 1 species
UACGUAGGGUGCGAGCGUUGUCCGGAAUUAUUGGGCGUAAAGGGCUCGUAGGCGGUUUGUCACGUCGGGAGUGAAAACUCAGGGCUUAACCCUGAGCCUGCUUCCGAUACGGGCAGACUAGAGGUAUGCAGGGGAGAAUGGAAUUCCUGGUGUAGCGGUGAAAUGCGUAGAUAUCUGGAGGAACACCGGUGGCGAAGGCGGCAUCCUGGACCGGCAUUGACGCUGAGGCGCGAAAGCCAGGGGAGCAAACGGG